rnacentral:rRNA from 1 species
UGAGGAAUAUUGGUCAAUGGGCGCAAGCCUGAACCAGCCAUCCCGCGUGAAGGAAGAAGGCCCUACGGGUUGUAAACUUCUUUUCUGUUUGAAGAAUAAGCUCGUCGAGACGAGUGAUGCCGGUAGGACAGAAAUAAGCAUCGGCUAACUCCGUGCCAGCAGCCGCGGUAAUACGGAGGAUGCAAGCGUUAUCCGGAUUUAUUGGGUUUAAAGGGUGCGCAGGUGGUUUAAUAAGUCAGUGGUGAAAGUCUGGCGCUUAACGUUAGGAUUGCCAUUGAUACUGUUAGACUUGAAUAUGGAUGAGGUAGGCGGAAUGUGUAGUGUAGCGGUGAAAUGCUUAGAUAUUACACAGAACACCGAUUGCGAAGGCAGCUUACUAAUCCAUUAUUGACGCUGAGGCACGAAAGCGUGGGGA